GAUGAAGAACGUAGUGAAAUGCGAUAAGUAGUGUGAAUUGCAGAAUUCAGUGAAUCAUCGAAUCUUUGAACGCACAUUGCGCCCCUUGGUAUUCCAUGGGGCAUGUCUGUUCGAGCGUCAUUUGUACCUUCAAGCUUUGCUUGGUGUUGGGUGUUUGUCUCGCCUUUGCGUGUAGACUCGCCUUAAAAUAAUUGGCAGCCGGCGUAUUGAUUUCGGAGCGCAGUACAUCUCGCGCUUUGCACUCAUAACGACAGCGUCCAAAAGUACAUUUUACACUCUUGACCUCGGAUCAGGUAGGGAUACCCGCUGAACUUAAGCAUAUCAAUAAGCGGAGGA
rnacentral:misc_RNA from 1 species